UUUCACCUGUUGACUGCUACAAGCUCCAAAAACGGUGCCGUUACAUGGCUGUGGUGGUCGAUUGACUUGCUCAUGUCCUGCCUCUUUCCCCUGUGAUCAAAAGUAACACAUGCUUGUGAUAAGAUCCCACAUUGGAAGUAAAAUGUCUAAAUAAAACUAAGUGACUAAAUUAUCUCACAUUGGAAAGGGGAAAGAAUAGUAAAUGGCUUCUAAGUUCACAAGCUGACGUUUAAGGUGAUUUUAGCCCAAACGUAAGGAAACACACGGAAUAGAGAAAUGCUCGGUUAUCUAUUCAUAUAUCCCGUAAAAAGAAAGAACCAAAACUAUUUCGUAAGUGACACGGACAAGCAGCAGCUUUGAGAUAACUACUAUAAACACUUGGCAACUGAGACAACGAAAUUGAGACUUACGGAGAAGGAAUGGAAUCUGAAUCAGAUUUAAGAUAGUAAAUCUUGAGUACCAGCUGGGAGAGGAUUCUUUAUGUCACAUUAUAUCCUGAUUAAGGCAAACACCACAGAAAGAAACAACUUUUAAUUAUGCAAGAAUCCAUCUCAAAAUCUCGUUUUACACACUCAGAACAAUUUUGUUAUAAAAUAACCUUAUCCCCACUUCAAUUUGUUGUUUAGUAUGCCAUCGCAAGCCACAGUAUAAAUUGGUAUAGAGGAAAAUCCACUAUUAGAUAAACCUAGAUGUCCUGUAAAAUUUGUCAUAUUCCCACAAUGUUGCAAAUUGAAGUAACUAAUGCACACCUGGAAUGGGUAAGCAAGGCUUUUGAAUGGUGAUUUAUAACAGUCCCAGCAACGAAGUGGAGCUAUUUGGUUUGUCCCCUCCUUUCCUUAUCAUUAUCUGCAAUUUAUACACUCCAAUAAAGAUGAAAUCCUCAACAACAUGCAGAGUGAUGUACUGAUGUGCAUAAGCCCACUUAGAUCAUACUCAAGAAGGUAAAAAAUGCAUGUUUACUGAUUCAAGACCUAAUCUGAUCAAAUAUCUUGGAAACUCACUUCAUCCAACAAGAAAUCUAGACUUAUAAAUUGAGAGAAUGAGGGAACUCACAGUAAAACCCUUGCUGGAUAAUUUAAGCCAAUUUGCAAUAGAUUUUUAAGGAAUUGACAGAAGAAUCAAGCGGCGAUAAUUCAUAACAAACUCCAAUCUAGAUCCUAAUGUUAAAAACCGAAAACAGAAAUUUAAUCAUUCGAGAUGAGCGAUUUGAAACAUGGAAAGCAAAAGAGGACUAAGUUUGAGUUCCUCCGACCACUUCUCUCUCAGUACAUAGCAUUCCCCAGAUGAUGUAUCAUCCGAAUUGCCGAAUAGGUCUCGCUAAUUCUCCGUCGCACUAGAAACUUCACCACCGGCGGUCACAAACCAGAAAGUGUCUCUCUGUCUUCGUCUCCAUCUCUUUCGUCCAGUG
rnacentral:lncRNA from 1 species